ACCACCUAAAAAUGUACAUUUAGGUUUACGUAUAAUAUUGAGGUCACUUAAAUACAGAUUCCCUGCUGUUUUUCACGCACGGUCUAUCACAACAACAUCGUUCCAAGAAAGAAAGCAUAAUAUUAUUAUCCUUUUUGUGUUUUCAGCUGAAUACUUGAUUUAACUUGAACUCAGCAAGAUAUCCAAACAGGAAAAAUAAGGCAAAGUAGUGUUAUUCUGAGUAGAUCUGCCUGGCGGGAUUGAAAGCGAAGGCAGAUAGCAGUGUCGGUCCAAAAUUGCUUGCAUGGAAAAACAACACACAUUACAUUUUAAAUAGUAAAAGGCUAAAAGUAAACAAUAGCAAUAAAUACAGAUGAAAUAAAGACAGGAAUUAGGUUCAUUAUUGAGAUUGAUGCAAAUUAAUGUCAAAAUGUCACUGAAAAACAAUACCGAGUGUUUACGUAGUCUUAGAAUGUGUCUUCGGAACAGGUUUCGGAGUGAUUUUCAAGCAUUUACCCCCCUUAGGACCCCAAGUGCAACAGCCCAAUUGCAAACAGCCCUUAAUUGGGUCAAAAUGACAUCUGGUAGUUAUGUUUUGCAAUACAGAGAGUUUUUGAUGGUAAAUUGUCAACAUUCUGGAAGACGACUAACUUGGUCGGAAGUUCUUAAAGGGAACCCAACCCCUUCAAAUUUGAAUUAAAGGCACUUUUUCCAUAGGUAUAAUCUGUUUUAAAAAAGAUCACAAAGUUCCAGUACCAUGACACACAGAUUUAUUCAUUAAAGUUGACGUUGAAAGCGUCACGCGUAACAGCGUUUCGCGUCAAGAAUUAAGGUAGAAAAGCCGACCUUGGUUACAUCAUACAGACAGCACUUAGACUCCAUACAAGGCAUCACUUUCGAUUCUAAUAGCAUAGCAGAUGUAACAUAUGACUUAAUAAGUGAAAACAAAUCAUCAAUGGCAUUAUAUGUGCAUCAUAGCAGGUUUUGAACAAGAUCCGAACAAACUUUUUAUAUAUUUUUUGGCACAUUUUAGGUAAAAUCCAUGUAGAAGCAGCAUUUCUGAUGUCAUUUGACCCAACAAAAGGGCUUGCUUGCAUGGGAAAACAACACACUUUACUUCCUGACGCAAAAAAAGUCAUCGUCAGACAUGAGCUUUAAGUUUUCUGUCACACCUGGACCUAUGAUUCCUCGGCUCGAGUUCCGUCUCGGACAGGCUCCGGAAAGUGUCAGUCUGGCCCGGGUGCUCAAUUCCGUGUAAUCUGAGAAAACAAAAAGUUGUUUAGUGCACAUUUACCCAUUACGGUGCUAACUUAUGUAAGUGAGAUACAAUUAGAGUAAGCUUUCAAUAGUCUGUGUGGCUUUAUUUACUGUAAACGGAUAAGUCACCAUGCCGGCAUCACAUUGUCGGGCACACUGGCAAAGUUAUCGCCACAAAAUGUGGUUUCAGAGCUGCAGUAAUUGUAAAAAACAACAAUUUGCCUAAUUUUGGUGACAAAAGUGUGCCAUGAUAUCAAAGAAAUCAUUUUACAAUAGAUUUCAUUGAAAAUAACAGCGUACUAACCUGCAAAGACACCGAUCCUCUCGACACGACUGGGCGAGUGUUGAGGGCCGUCUCCGAAUCAGUCAUACUGUGCAGUUUUUGAUGGCCUGUCACUUCAGCCGGACUUGUAAACCAAUUGGACAGCAGUUCAGGCAGAGCUAUAGACUAAUUCCGACACCACCUAAAAAUGUACAUUUAGGUUUACGUAUAAUAUUGAGGUCACUUAAAUACAGAUUCCCUGCUGUUUUUCACGCACGGUCUAUCACAACAACAUCGUUCCAAGAAAGAAAGCAUAAUAUUAUUAUCCUUUUUGUGUUUUCAGCUGAAUACUUGAUUUAACUUGAACUCAGCAAGAUAUCCAAACAGGAAAAAUAAGGCAAAGUAGUGUUAUUCUGAGUAGAUCUGCCUGGCGGGAUUGAAAGCGAAGGCAGAUAGCAGUGUCGGUCCAAAAUUGCUUGCAUGGAAAAACAACACACAUUACAUUUUAAAUAGUAAAAGGCUAAAAGUAAACAAUAGCAAUAAAUACAGAUGAAAUAAAGACAGGAAUUAGGUUCAUUAUUGAGAUUGAUGCAAAUUAAUGUCAAAAUGUCACUGAAAAACAAUACCGAGUGUUUACGUAGUCUUAGAAUGUGUCUUCGGAACAGGUUUCGGAGUGAUUUUCAAGCAUUUACCCCCCUUAGGACCCCAAGUGCAACAGCCCAAUUGCAAACAGCCCUUAAUUGGGUCAAAAUGACAUCUGGUAGUUAUGUUUUGCAAUACAGAGAGUUUUUGAUGGUAAAUUGUCAACAUUCUGGAAGACGACUAACUUGGUCGGAAGUUCUUAAAGGUUACACAUGCCCAAUUAAUUUCCUUCUUUGUUAUAUAUAGAAUUCGCAAUCUUUGAUCUCAAAUUUCACCAUGACCGAGCGAUAAGCCAAUAUAUAACUAUACAUGACUGGAAAGGUGGUUUCAUAAACUUACAAAAAAACUGCAUUUGAAAAAAUUCUAUACGGUGUAACUCAAAAUAAUUACCUUAGAGCAUAUGAACCGGUUUUGACAGCUACCGGCACUGCCAUUUGAAGGCAAAAACCAUGCCCUACUAUUGAGGCUGGCAACCACUAACAUACAAAGAAAUGCACAAAUCAGGCCUUUUGCCCUGUGACUUACACAUGUACCUUUAAACUGACACCUAAACUCUUCAUUUCAGAUACAUUUUUAAAAUCUUAUGCACCAGGACCUGCAUCAUAUGUACUAAGUAGCAAACCGACUGCAUGUAACCCCCCAAAUUCCACUUCCGUUUAGGAUAAUGUAACCUAUAAGGGAACCCAACCCCUUCAAAUUUGAAUUAAAGGCACUUUUUCCAUAGGUAUAAUCUGUUUUAAAAAAGAUCACAAAGUUCCAGUACCAUGACACACAGAUUUAUUCAUUAAAGUUGACGUUGAAAGCGUCACGCGUAACAGCGUUUCGCGUCAAGAAUUAAGGUAGAAAAGCCGACCUUGGUUACAUCAUACAGACAGCACUUAGACUCCAUACAAGGCAUCACUUUCGAUUCUAAUAGCAUAGCAGAUGUAACAUAUGACUUAAUAAGUGAAAACAAAUCAUCAAUGGCAUUAUAUGUGCAUCAUAGCAGGUUUUGAACAAGAUCCGAACAAACUUUUUAUAUAUUUUUUGGCACAUUUUAGGUAAAAUCCAUGUAGAAGCAGCAUUUCUGAUGUCAUUUGACCCAACAAAAGGGCUUGCUUGCAUGGGAAAACAACACACUUUA